rnacentral:rRNA from 1 species
UACGGAGGGUGCGAGCGUUGUCCGGAAUCAUUGGGCGUAAAGGGCGCGUAGGUGGCCCGGUCAGUUCGUGGUGAAAGCGCGGGGCUCAACCCUGCGUCGGCCAUGAAUACUGCCGCGGCUGGAGCACUGUAGAGGCAGGCGGAAUUCCGGGUGUAGCGGUGGAAUGCGUAGAGAUCCGGAAGAACACCGGUGGCGAAGGCGGCCUGCUGGGCAGUGCUGACACUGAGGCGCGGACAGCGUGGGAGCAACAGG